rnacentral:rRNA from 1 species
CCUACGUGGCUGCAGUGGGGAAUAUUGGACAAUGGGCGAAAGCCUGAUCCAGCCAUGCCGCGUGUGUGAAGAAGGCCUUCGGGUUGUAAAGCACUUUCAGUGGGGAAGAAAGCCUUGGGGCUAAUACCCUCGAGGAAGGACAUCACCCACAGAAGAAGCACCGGCUAACUCCGUGCCAGCAGCCGCGGUAAUACGGAGGGUGCGAGCGUUAAUCGGAAUUACUGGGCGUAAAGCGCGCGUAGGCGGUCUGAUAAGCCGGUUGUGAAAGCCCCGGGCGCAACCUGGGAACGGCAUCCGGAACUGUCAGGCUAGAGUGCAGGAGAGGAAGGUAGAAUUCCCGGUGUAGCGGUGAAAUGCGUAGAGAUCGGGAGGAAUACCAGUGGCGAAGGCGGCCUUCUGGACUGACACUGACGCUGAGGUGCGAAAGCGUGGGUAGCAAACAGGAUUAGAUACCCUGGUAGUC